rfam:Streptomyces nodosus strain ATCC 14899 genome.
CUUCACGGAGCCGAGCCACAGCGGCUGCUCCGGGUCACGGUCCCGGCCGUAGGUCGCAAGCAGCGCCUGCGCCUC